UACGAAGGGGGCUAGCGUUGUUCGGAAUCACUGGGCGUAAAGCGUAUGUAGGCGGAUUGUUAAGUCAAGGGUGAAAUCCCGAGGCUCAACCUCGGAACUGCCUUUGAUACUGGCUGUCUUGAGUCCGGGAGAGGUGAGUGGAACUCCUAGUGUAGAGGUGAAAUUCGUAGAUAUUAGGAAGAACACCAGUGGCGAAGGCGGCUCACUGGCCCGGAACUGACGCUGAUGUACGAAAGCGUGGGGAGCAAACAGG
rnacentral:rRNA from 1 species